UACAUAAGGACUAAAAUUGCUCUAAAAGACAGUUCUGCACAUCCAUGUAUUUAAUACAAACCAAAAUGCAAGCCCAACUCUACCAAACAAAUCAAUGGCGUGCAGUAACCAGGGGGUCCUAGAAGGGGUCCUAGCAUACCUAAGGCCAACUUCUAUUCACCAUGUGAAAAAACUGGUUCAUGUAAUUAAAUUCCAACAAAAUCUAAUGUCUGACCUUGAGCUUUGUUAAUAGUCAUAGCAAAACUUACUGGAAAUUGUGUUCUUUUAAAAGGAACAGGUAAGUUCUCAUCUUGUGAUGCUACUAAUAUUGUCCCCUAGCUGACUGUACCUCCGGUGUGCAAGGAUCCUCCCUUCUCAGAUGCCCGAGCUUUUUCCUAUUUACGCUCUUCUGUAAGAACUCUGCAGUAAGCCAUUGCUUUUGCAAACCAUCCCAAAACUCCUGAAGCAACCCGCCAGGCUUCUGGUUCAGCUGUCUAGCUAUGGAGAAAGUAUGCGACAACCACUUGCGAGCUUUGAGAUUAAAACUUGCAGCCACGUCCGCGCUAUACUGGCAUUCCCAUACACACUUGCUUUGUAUUUCAAAAGUUAAAUAUUAUAUGGAAAUACGUAAGCUCCUGUCACAAAAUAGCACUUGAUAAAAUAAUUUGACUCGAUCCGAAAGCAAAAUAGCAGUUGCUAAUAAUAUCCAUUACAGUUAAACUUGAUGCGCUCACAGAUCAUAUUAUUUUAAGUGCUAAUAGGCAAAAGAGGUGAUGACAUUACAUAAAAUUGUGGACGAUUCAGCAACAUACACCGCAGAACUGUACCAUCCCUUGAGAACUUAAUUAAUAGUAUGAAGGCUUUCUUGGGAGUUCUUUUAUUUUGUUUGCUGUGGCUUGUAUUCAAUGGGAGUUUAGCCAAGCAGGCAACUUGUGUACUUCCUUUCGAACUUCUAGCAUUUUGAAUCUUGAACCUUAAUUAUGUAAGCAACCGAGAGGUUGUGAGUUCGAGUCUUCCAAGAGCAAGGUGGGAAGUUCUUGGACGGAAGG
rnacentral:lncRNA from 1 species